GACGAACGCUGGCGGCGUGCUUAACACAUGCAAGUCGAACGGAAAGGCCCCUUUGGGGGUACUCGAGUGGCGAACGGGUGAGUAACACGUGAGUAACCUGCCCUUGACUUCGGGAUAACUUCAGGAAACUGGGGCUAAUACCGGAUAGGAAUCCUUGCUGCAUGGUGGGGGUUGGAAAGCUUCGGCGGUUUUGGAUGGACUCGCGGCUUAUCAGCUUGUUGGUGGGGUAGUGGCUUACCAAGGCUUUGACGGGUAGCCGGCCUGAGAGGGCGACCGGCCACAUUGGGACUGGGAUACGGCCCAGACUCCUACGGGGGGCAGCAGGGGGGAAUAUUGCACCAUGGGCGGGAGCCUGAUGCAGCAACGCCGCGUGCGGGAUGACGGCCUUCGGGUUGGAAACCGCUUUCAGCAGGGGCGAAGCUUGUGGUGACGGUACCUGCAGAAGAAGCACCGGCUAACUACGUG
rnacentral:rRNA from 1 species